CUUCAGUCUGUGUUUAGAUCUGUUCACAAAAACUUGUUAUUGGUGCUAUUGUCAUUGGGUGUGAAUAAUCUGUUUCUUAAGUUUCUUACAUUGGGGUUAUCAGUUCUGACAAAGUCGCAUUUAAAUGAUCGUGUUCCGAAUUCAUCAUCAAAACUUGGAAAUGGAGUACACUCAAUUGCUAAAACAUAUAAACCAUGGAGUUAAAAGCUGAAAUGUCAACAUACAUGAUUUACUAACAAAUCUUCACAAAAAUUUCAGAGCCUGUUUGUCUGACUUGUCAAUUGAUAUGAAUUUUGCAAUAUGUAUAAUAAAAAUUUAAAUGUUUUUAUGGACGGUA